AAAAGGACAAAGGCAUUAGUAUAAUAGCAAUAGUGAACUAUUUACAUAUUCCUCAACUUUAUUCUCUCUAAAUUACCCCCACCCACAAUCAUCAACUCCAAAUCAUCUGCUCACAAGUACCUUUACCACAAAUGUAGCAGAACCAAGAACAGUGCAGCUUUCAAGAAAAGUCUGUCUUACAUUAGACUCAUGGCUCUCUAUUGAAUUUUAAGGUCAUAGUGAGUACAAGAGGUGACAAACAUAGCAAUUCAGUUAUAGUGUAACUUUAACAUGUUGCUCAUUAUAAAAAAACGUUAAAAAAAAUUGACAAUAAUAGAAAUCUAA
rnacentral:misc_RNA from 1 species